UCUGCACAGAGCUCAGUGUCGUUGAAGAGUGACAGGUCAAAAGAUGGCAGCCAUCCAAACUUCAAACUGGAGCACUCACCUGAGAAAAGAGUCAUGUCACAGAGACCAGAGUCAUCUGCACAGAGCUCAGUGUCCUUGAAGAGUGACUGGUCAAAAGAUCGAGGACAACCAAACUUCAGACUGGAGCAUUCACCUGAGAAAAGAGUCAUGUCACAGAGACCAGAGUCAUCUGCACAGAGCUCAGUGUCCUUGAAGAGUGACAGGUCAAAAGGUGGAGGCCUUCCAAACUUCAGUUGGACAUCUAAAAUGAGGUAUGACAAGCCCCUCCUACA